rnacentral:lncRNA from 1 species
AAAUCUCAAACCUUUUCUUCGUCUUCCUCCUGGUCAUGUUCCUCUCUUCUUCUGCCACAUCUCUUAUUAGUCUCUUUGGUAGGAGAUCUAAAAGCCUUUUUCAUAGCAAUCAACCAUGAGCUUCCUCCCUUCUUCUCCACAACCUAGCCGCAUUUACAGCAGCCCUGCUAAACUGAACUCCACAAAACAAGAAGUAGGAGUAUAAUUUCAAUGAUGUUUUGAC